rnacentral:rRNA from 1 species
GUGUCAGCCGCCGCGGUAAUACGGAAGGGGCAAGCGUUGUUCGGAAUCAUUGGGCGUAAAGGGCGCGUAGGUGGUCUUGUAUGUCUACCGUGAAAGGGUACAGCUCAACUGUAGCGCGUCGGUAGAAACUGCAGGACUUGAGGCUGGGAGGGGCUGGUGGAAUUCCCUGUGUAGCGGUGAAAUGCGUAGAGAUGGGGGAGAACACUCGUGGCGAAGGCGGCCAGCUAGACCAGUUCUGACACUGAGGCGCGACAGCGUGGGGAGCAAACAGGAUUAGAUACCCCGGUAGUCC